CCGGGAUUGGACAGGGGGGCACCCUGAUCCACCAUGCCGCGUGUGUGAACAAAGAUUUCGGGUUGUAAAGCACUUGUCUCAGACGAGGAAUGCCAUAGUGUUAACUACCCUUGAGGAUUGAGGUUACUCACAGAAUAAGCACCGGCUAACUCCGUGCCAGCAGCCGCGGUAAUACGGAGGGUGCAAGCGUUAAUCGGAAUUACUGGGCGUAAAGCGCGCGUAGGUGGUUUGAUAAACGAGAUGUGAAAGCCCCGGGCUUAACCUGGGAACGGCAUUUCUAACUGUCAGGCUAGAGUGUGGUACAGGGUAGUGGAAUUUCCUGUGUAGCGGUGAAAUGCGUAUAUAUAGGAAGGAACACCACUGGCGAAGGCGGCUACGUGGACCAACACUGACACUGAAGUGCGAAAGCGUGGGGAGCAAACAGGAUUAGAUACACUGGUAGUCCACGCCGUAAACGAUGUCAACUAUGCUGCGCGACUCUUGAAGUCUUAGUGGCGCAGCUAACGCACUAAGUUGACCGCCUGGGGAGUACGGCCGCAAGGUUAAAACUCAAUGGAAUUGACGGA
rnacentral:rRNA from 1 species